rnacentral:rRNA from 1 species
UACGUAGGGUGCGAGCGUUAAUCGGAAUUACUGGGCGUAAAGCGCGCGUAGGCGGCCCUGUAAGUCCGCUGUAAAAGUCAAAGGCUCAACCUUUGAAAGCCGGUGGAUACUGCAGGGCUAGAGUCCGGAAGAGGCGAGUGGAAUUCCUGGUGUAGCGGUGGAAUGCGCAGAUAUCAGGAGGAACACCAAUAGCGAAGGCAGCUCGCUGGGACGGUACUGACGCUAAGGCGCGAAAGCGUGGGGAGCGAACAGG